rnacentral:rRNA from 1 species
GAUGAACGCUGGCGGCGUGCCUAAUACAUGCAAGUCGAGCGAACAGACGAGGAGCUUGCUCCUCUGACGUUAGCGGCGGACGGGUGAGUAACACGUGGAUAACCUACCUAUAAGACUGGGAUAACUUCGGGAAACCGGAGCUAAUACCGGAUAAUAUAUUGAACCGCAUGGUGCAAUAGUGAAAGACGGUUUUGCUGGCACUUAUAGAUGGAUCCGCGCCGCAUUAGCUAGUUGGUAAGUUAACGGCUUACGAAGGCAACGAUGCGUAGCCGACCUGAGAGGGUGAUCGGCCACACUGGAACUGAGACACGGUCCAGACUCCUACGGGAGGCAGCAGUAGGGAAUCUUCCGCAAUGGGCGAAAGCCUGACGGAGCAACGCCGAGUGAGUGAUGAAGGUCUUCGGAUCGUAAAACUCUGUUAUUAGGGAAGAACAAAUGUGUAAGUAACUAUGCACGUCUUGACGGUACCUAAUCAGAAAGCCACGGCUAACUACGUG